rnacentral:rRNA from 1 species
CCUAUCCAUCGCGGGCGCAAGAGAUUUGAAGGGAUCUGCUCCUAGUACGAGAGGACCGGAGUGGACGGACCAAUGGUGUACCAAUUAUGCCGCCAGGCGUACAGUUGGGUAGCUACGUCCGGGACGGAUAAACGCUGAAAGCAUCUAAGCGUGAAACCGGCCCUGAGAUGAGAUCUCUCAUAACGUAAGUUAGUAAGACCCCUUGCAGAAGACAAGGUUGAUAGGCCGGGAGUGUAAGUGCAGCAAUGUAUUGAGCGGACCGGUACUAAUAGGUCGAGGGCUUGAUUUC